rnacentral:rRNA from 1 species
UACGGAGGGUGCAAGCGUUAUCCGGAUUUACUGGGUUUAAAGGGUGCGUAGGUGGGCAGAUAAGUCAGCGGUGAAAUCUCCGGGCUUAACCCGGAAACUGCCAUUGAUACUAUUUGUCUUGAAUAUCCUGGAGGUGAGCGGAAUAUGUCAUGUAGCGGUGAAAUGCUUAGAUAUGACAUAGAACACCCAUUGCGAAGGCAGCUCACUACGGGAUUAUUGACACUGAGGCACGAAAGCGUGGGGAGCAAACAGG